rnacentral:rRNA from 1 species
CCUACGGGCGGCAGCAGUGAGGAAUAUUGGUCAAUGGACGAGAGUCUGAACCAGCCAAGUAGCGUGAAGGAUGACUGCCCUAUGGGUGGUAAACUUCUUUUAUAGAGGAAUAAAACGAGGCACGUGUCCCUUUUUGCAUGUACUUUAUGAAUAAGGAUCGGCUAACUCCGUGCCAGCAGCCGCGGUAAUACGGAGGAUCCGAGCGUUAUCCGGAUUUAUUGGGUUUAAAGGGCGCGUAGGUGGGUUGUUAAGUCAGUUGUGAAAGUUUGCGGCUCAACCGUAGAAUUGCAAUUGAUACUGGCAGUCUUGAGUGCAGUUGAGGUAGGCGGAAUUCGAGGUGUAGCGGUGAAAUGCUCAGAUAUCGCGAAGAACCCCGAUUGCGAAGGCAGCUUACUAAACUGUGACUGACAUUGAUGUUCGAAAGUGUGGGGAUCAAACAGGAUUAGAUACCCGAGUAGUC